rnacentral:rRNA from 1 species
UUCGGUGACUAUGGCGGAGAGGAUCCACCCGUUCCCAUCCCGAACACGGAAGUUAAGCUCUCCAGCGCCGAUGGUACUGCAUGGGUGACUGUGUGGGAGAGUAGGACGUCGCCGAAA